ACCAGGGAGUACCACGAUGCAGUCAGACAAACCACAAGCCAGGACGCAGACACUGCGGCUGCUGCUCUCAAGUGAUUUAUUUGGAACCGAAAUCCCACCCUGUCACGCCCUGCCUACACCUGAAAUGACCUCUUGCCGCCUGUCAGGGCCCUCUGCCUGAUGGCUUUAGAGAAGCAAGAUGCAAACCAAGAAGAAGGAAGAGGCAGACUUCUCCCAUUUCUGGUCUAAUAUAAACUACAAACACUCCUUUUCUAGACAACGACUUCCUAAGCAGUGAAAUGUGCAUGAAUACCAACGAAUACUUGGUUUAACAUCAUGAGAUGGCCGUGAAUAAAAAUGGCAAGAAAGGAA